rnacentral:rRNA from 1 species
GACGAACGCUGGCGGCGUGCUUAACACAUGCAAGUCGAACGGAAAGGCCCUGCUUUUGUGGGGUGCUCGAGUGGCGAACGGGUGAGUAACACGUGAGUAACCUGCCCUUGACUUUGGGAUAACUUCAGGAAACUGGGGCUAAUACCGGAUAGGAGCUCCUGCUGCAUGGUGGGGGUUGGAAAGUUUCGGCGGUUGGGGAUGGACUCGCGGCUUAUCAGCUUGUUGGUGGGGUAGUGGCUUACCAAGGCUUUGACGGGUAGCCGGCCUGAGAGGGUGACCGGCAGAAGGGGGAAGAAGGGAGGGACAAGACGCCAGGGGGGGAAAGAGGGGGGAAAUAUGAAAAAGGGGGGGGAAGCGGGAGGAAAAAACGCGGGGGGGGGAAGGAGGGCCUGGGGGGGAAAAACCGGUUCGGCGGGGGAAAAAGCGGGAGUGAGGGGAAGGAAAAAAGAAGAACCGGCAAAAUACGGG